rnacentral:rRNA from 1 species
GACGGAGGGGGCAAGCGUUGUUCGGAAUUAUUGGGCGUAAAGGGCGCGUAGGCGGCCUGGCAAGUGGAAGGUGAAAUCCCUCGGCUUAACCGAGGAUCUGCCCUCCAAACUGCUUGGCUUGAGUCCGGGAGAGGUGAGUGGAAUUCCCAGUGUAGCGGUGAAAUGCGUAGAUAUUGGGAGGAACACCAGUGGCGAAGGCGGCUCACUGGACCGGAACUGACGCUGAGGCGCGAAAGCGUGGGGAGCAAACGGG